UUAAAGGGUUCGUAGUUGAAUUGAGGGCUGUCAAGGAGACGAACAAGUCCCGUCCUUCGGAUAGGUGACCUUCGCUCUUGCAGUUCGUGAACAUCAGAAACAAACAUCUCGGAAGCGUUUCCCCCCAACCUACGCAUGCAAUGUAUGCAGGGGGGCGUCCGUGUGUCUUACUGUGACUAAAAAAGUGCGACCAAAGCAGUCGUUCGACAUGAAUUAGAAAGCAUGGGAUAACAACGAAUCAGCCUUCGGGUUACCGUUUCGGCUUUUGCUGGUUUUAGAGAUCUGAAGGAGAUUAUGGGCUCGCACGACAAGCGGUUCGGGGUUCCGUCCCCACGCCUCCAUCGUUUAUGGCUUUCGGGUCUAGGCGGUGGCUUUGCGGCGCCCAGGAAUGAAGGAGGGUUGUUCGGGGGAGAACGUACUUGAA
rnacentral:rRNA from 1 species